rnacentral:rRNA from 1 species
ACUCAAAGGAAUAGACGGGGGCCCGCACAAGCGGUGGAGCAUGUGGUUUAAUUCGAUGCAACGCGAAGAACCUUACCUACCCUUGACAUGUCAAGAAGCCUGGUUAAGCGCUGGGCGUGCCGAAAGGAACUUGAACACAGGUGCUGCAUGGCUGUCGUCAGCUCGUGUCGUGAGAUGUUGGGUUAAGUCCCGUAACGAGCGCAACCCUUGUCCUUCGUUGCCACCCGAAAGGGGGAACUCGAAGGAGACUGCCGAUGAUAAAUCGGAGGAAGGUGGGGAUGACGUCAAGUCAUCAUGGCCUUUAUGGGUAGGGCUACACACGUGCUACAAUGGGCGUUACAGAGGGUCGCGAACCUGUGAAGGGGAGCCAAUCUUAAAAAAGCGCUCGUAGUCCGGAUCGGAGUCUGCAACUCGACUCCGUGAAGUCGGAAUCGCUAGUAAUCGCGAAUCAGAAUGUCGCGGUGAAUACGUUCCCGGGCCUUGUACACACCGCCCGU